rnacentral:lncRNA from 1 species
AGCCCUCCCGAGCGGCGGAGGAUGCGCCGAGCCCCGGGGAGACGAGCCCAGCUGCAGCGCGGCGCGUCCCGCCCGGCCGCCGCCCCAGCCCGCGCAGCCCCCUGUGCCUGGGAGCCAUGAGCCGCCGGAGCAGCCUCCCAGCCGCAGCCCCCCGGCACUCUUAGGCUGCCCUGCUCCCCUGGAAGGUGCUCAUCGCUGGCCAGGAGAACUGGCUGCACCUGCACCCAGCCUCCUGCAUCCCUCCCAAGGUUCCUUGUCUCACCAGCAGGUCCUUGUAGGAUUUCAGCUCUGGGCUGCGUGUCUGGGGCUGAGCCAGGUGCCCCCUGCUCCGUGCUGGGUCCCAUGAGCCGGGCAGGACCCCCCUGUCCCUCGCGCCCGGGGCCGCAGCGCCCGGCUCUGCCCCCGCUGCUCGGGAGCGCCCGCCAGCCCCCAGAGCGGAGCCGCAGAGAGCUGCUGCCACGGUGAGUCCUGCCUUCUCCUUCCCCUUCCUUCCUUCCCCUUCCUUCCUUCCCCUUCCUUCCUUCCCCUUCCUUCCUUCCCCUUCCUUCCUUCUCCUUCCUUCCUUCCCCU